CUGAGUUCCCUCACGGUAAUCCUCACGGCAAAAAAAGUAAAUAUAGGGUGAAUGUUCAUCUUAUGAACAGAAGUAUCACUCAUUAUGCCUGCCUCGACUCAGCUGUUUUCUCUUGUUACUGGUCUUUUGGUUGGGAAUAUCUUUGGUGUUUAUUUAGCUCAAGCAUAUGAGCUGCCAGAUCUUCACAAUGCCAUGGAAUACCUUUUCUCCAAAGCACAGGAAUAUGAGAAACCACCUAAUUUUAAUCGCUUAAUUUUAAUUCAUCUUUUGGACUAAAAUCCAUGGAAAGUCACAAGACCAUGAUUUGUUCUAAAUGAGAAAAAAUACAAACCCUUCUACUUCUACAUGAACACAAGUUAACAUAUUGAAUUUUGUCAUUUCACUGCAACAUUCUCUCAUUCCUACAGCUGCCAGAUCUUCACAAUGCCAUGGAAUACCUUUUCUCCAAAGCACAGGAAUAUGAGAAACCACCUAAAAAGUCUGAUGAUUAAAAAGACAAGUGACAUGGGACAAGCUUUUGUCUUAAAAGUCAGAGGGAACAGUGAGAUGGGAGUAAGAGAACCUUUUGUUGAUCAGCAUGAGAUGGACAUGAAAAAGUGGUCAAGCAUUUCCCACAAAUGAGAAAAAUUAUUUCUUAGAUUUGACCAACAUCAAGACAGAGAAACAUCAUUUUCUUCUGCUUAUACAAUCUUCAUCUCUAACCUUAAAAAGCUAGUAUCACUGAAAUGCACCGAAUUUGCCAAAGGAGAUUCAAUAAAUAAAAUCUUUACAUGGACAUAAUGUUAAAACUUUAAGUGGCACACCACAUCACAGGCUUAGAGUGGACCUACCAGUACAUGUGAAGUGUUCUCAACAAAGUCUUAACCAGAGGGCUUGGUGAUAAAGAAUGUGUUGAAACAAGUGCCAUGUAUAUCUGAGUCUGUAGUGAUAGAAGUGUAUUUCCGUGAUUCCAAGUCUACAUGUAAUCUGCUGUGGCCUUAAUAAAACCUCCCUGUAAAGCAUCUUAACUUUGAACAAUCUAAUCUAGGAUUAAAGAUUAUUGUACAGGGAAACAUAGAGUCUUAUUUCAAAUGCUCUAGUUUGUUUUGCUAAAUAGAAGUACAAUAUAUACAUUACUGUAAGCUCAAAUCAGCAAUAUCAACAUCUUGCUAUUAA